AUGGUCAUGCAGAUUACCUGGUCCCUUGUAUGCCUGCUGGUAGCCCUUUUGGAGGUUCUGUCUGGGCCAACACUAACAGAGUCAGGCCCAGGGCUGAUGAUGCCCUCACAGACCCUGUCUCUCCCUGCUCUGUCUCUGGAUUCUCCAUCACAACCAGUGGUUACUGUUGGCACUGGAUAUGUCAGAUACCUGGAAAAGGGUUUCAAUGGAUGUCAGAAAUAUACACAGAUGGAAGUACAUACUAUGACCCAUCUCUGAAAAAUAGACUUUCCAUUUCCAUGGACACAUCCACAAACAAGUUCUUCCAGCAGCUGAGAUCUAUGACCCCUGAGGACACUGCUGUAUAUUACUGUGCCAGAGAUACACUGUGA